rnacentral:rRNA from 1 species
GGACCCGCACAAGUAGUGGAGCAUGUGGUUUAAUUCGAAGAUACGCGCAGAACCUUACCAACACUUGACAUGUUCGUCGCGACUCUAAGAGAUUAGAGUUUUCGGUUCGGCCGGACGAAACACAGGUGCUGCAUGGCUGUCGUCAGCUCGUGUCGUGAGAUGUUGGGUUAAGUCCCGCAACGAGCGCAACCCUCACUUUUAGUUGCCAUCAUUAAGUUGGCACUCUGAAAGAACUGCCAGUGAUAAGCUGGAGGAAGGUGGGAUGACGUCAAGUCCUCAUGGCCCUUACGUGUUGGGCUACACACGUGCUACAAUGGUAUCUACAACAGGAAGCCAAAACCGCGAAGGUUAGAC